AGAUCCCUGAAAGAUGAUCAGGUUGAUAGGUCAGAGGUGGAAGCGCGGUGACGUGUGGAGCUGACUGAUACUAAUAGAUCGAGGACUUAACUAAA
rnacentral:rRNA from 1 species